UACAGAGGGGGCAAGCGUUGUUCGGAAUUACUGGGCGUAAAGGGCGCGUAGGCGGCCUUCUAAGUCGAACGUGAAAUCCCUGGGCUCAACCCAGGAACUGCGUCCGAUACUGGGAGGCUUGAAUCCGGGAGAGGGGUGCGGAAUUCCAGGUGUAGCGGUGAAAUGCGUAGAUAUCUGGAGGAACACCGGUGGCGAAGGCGGCAUCCUGGACCGGCAUUGACGCUGAGGCGCGAAAGCCAGGGGAGCAAACGGG
rnacentral:rRNA from 1 species